rnacentral:rRNA from 1 species
AUUGAACGCUGGCGGCAUGCCUUACACAUGCAAGUCGAACGGCAGCACGGGGGGUAACCCCUGGUGGCGAGUGGCGAACGGGUGAGUAAUACAUCGGAACGUGUCCAGUAGCGGGGGAUAACCUCUCGAAAGAGAGGCUAAUACCGCAUACGACCUACGGGUGAAAGAGGGGGAUCGCAAGACCUCUCACUAUUGGAGCGGCCGAUGUCGGAUUAGCUAGUUGGUGGGGUAAAAGCCACCAAGGCUACGAUCCGUAGCUGGUCUGAGAGGACGACCAGCCACACUGGAACUGAGACACGGUCCAGACUCCUACGGGAGGCAGCAGUGGGGAAUUUUGGACAAUGGGCGCAAGCCUGAUCCAGCCAUGCCGCGUGGGUGAAGAAGGCCU